UACGGGGGGGGCUAGCGUUGUUCGGAAUUACUGGGCGUAAAGGGCGCGUAGGCGGUCUGCUAAGUUGGAUGUGAAAACUCUGGGCUUAACCCAGAGCCUGCAUUCAAUACUGACAGGCUAGAGUUCUGGAGGGGAUAGCGGAAUUCCUGGUGUAGCGGUGAAAUGCGUAGAUAUCAGGAGGAACACCGAUGGCGAAGGCAGGUCUCUGGGCCGAUACUGACGCUGAGGAGCGAAAGCGUGGGGAGCGAACAGG
rnacentral:rRNA from 1 species